GUACACACCGCCCGUCGCUCCUACCGAUUGGGUGUGCUGGUGAAGUGUUCGGAUUGGCAAUUAUCGGUGGCAACACCGUCGAUUGCCGAGAAGUUCAUUAAACCCUCCCACCUAGAGGAAGGAGAAGUCGUAACAAGGUUUCCGUAGGUGAACCUGCAGAAGGAUCA
rnacentral:rRNA from 1 species